CGCUGGCGGCGUGCCUAAUACAUGCAAGUCGAACGCACAGCGAAAGGUGCUUGCACCUUUCAAGUGAGUGGCGAACGGGUGAGUAACACGUGGACAACCUGCCUCAAGGCUGGGGAUAACAUUUGGAAACAGAUGCUAAUACCGAAUGAAACUUAGUGUCGCAUGAUACGAAGUUAAAAGGCGCUUUGGCGUCACCUAGAGAUGGAUCCGCGGUGCAUUAGUUAGUUGGUGGGGUAAAGGCCUACCAAGACAAUGAUGCAUAGCCGAGUUGAGAGACUGAUCGGCCACAUUGGGACUGAGACACGGCCCAAACUCCUACGGGAGGCUGCAGUAGGGAAUCUUCCACAAUGGGCGAAAGCCUGAUGGAGCAACGCCGCGUGUGUGAUGAAGGCUUUCGGGUCGUAAAGCACUGUUGUAUGGGAAGAACAGCUAGAAUAGGGAAUGAUUUUAGUUUGACGGUACCAUACCAGAAAGGGACGGCUAAAUACGUGCCAGCAGCCGCGGUAAUACGUAUGUCCCGAGCGUUAUCCGGAUUUAUUGGGCGUAAAGCGAGCGCAGACGGUUGAUUAAGUCUGAUGUGAAAGCCCGGAGCUCAACUCCGGAAUGGCAUUGGAAACUGGUUAACUUGAGUGCAGUAGAGGUAAGUGGAACUCCAUGUGUAGCGGUGGAAUGCGUAGAUAUAUGGAAGAACACCAGUGGCGAAGGCGGCUUACUGGACUGUAACUGACGUUGAGGCUCGAAAGUGUGGGUAGCAAACAGGAUUAGAUACCCUGGUAGUCCACACCGUAAACGAUGAACACUAGGUGUUAGGAGGUUUCCGCCUCUUAGUGCCGAAGCUAACGCAUUAAGUGUUCCGCCUGGGGAGUACGACCGCAAGGUUGAAACUCAAAGGAAUUGACGGGGACCCGCACAAGCGGUGGAGCAUGUGGUUUAAUUCGAAGCAACGCGAAGAACCUUACCAGGUCUUGACAUCCUUUGAAGCUUUUAGAGAUAGAAGUGUUCUCUUCGGAGACAAAGUGACAGGUGGUGCAUGGUCGUCGUCAGCUCGUGUCGUGAGAUGUUGGGUUAAGUCCCGCAACGAGCGCAACCCUUAUUGUUAGUUGCCAGCAUUCAGAUGGGCACUCUAGCGAGACUGCCGGUGACAAACCGGAGGAAGGCGGGGACGACGUCAGAUCAUCAUGCCCCUUAUGACCUGGGCUACACACGUGCUACAAUGGCGUAUACAACGAGUUGCCAACCCGCGAGGGUGAGCUAAUCUCUUAAAGUACGUCUCAGUUCGGAUUGUAGUCUGCAACUCGACUACAUGAAGUCGGAAUCGCUAGUAAUCGCGGAUCAGCACGCCGCGGUGAAUACGUUCCCGGGUCUUGUACACACCGCCCGUCACACCAUGGGAGUUUGUAAUGCCCAAAGCCGGUGGCCUAACCUUUUAGGAAGGAGCCGUCUAAGGCAGGACAGAUGACUGGGG
rnacentral:rRNA from 1 species